UAAGCACCCAAGUGCUCCUCUAGGUUGGGUAUCAAGGAAUAGGGGGAGUUUGGGGAUAGACGUCCCAGUGCUGGCUUCACCAUCCCACAGUGGAAGGGAACUCUCUGAAGGCUCCAAGCUCCUCUGCACUGUCCGUGAGAAUGUUUUCUUCCAUGAGAACUUUUCUUCAGAACCUGGUACCUGGACAGCACCACUCUGCACCUGGAUUACCAGUUACCUGUUUAUUAUAAAGAAUAUUAAAGGAUACAAAUCAACAGGCAGAUGAAGGGAUACACAGAGGGAGGUCCUGAACAAAGGAGCCCCUGUCUUCAUGGAGUUCGGGACCUGGCACGUGGACGCGUUCUGGUUCCCUAACUUAGAAGGCUCUGGACGCGCAGGCUCAGCGGCCACAGCUCACGGGCCCAGCCGCUCCGCGGCACGCGGGAUCCUCCCGGACCGGGGCACGAACCCAUGUCCCCUGCAUCGGCAGGCGGACUCUCAACAACUGCGCCACCAGGGAAG